rnacentral:rRNA from 1 species
UAAGGAAUAUUGGUCAAUGGACGCAAGUCUGAACCAGCCAUGCCGCGUGAAGGAUGAAGGUCCUCUGGAUUGUAAGCUUCUUUUAUCUGGGACGAAAACGGGAUUUUUAUCUCAAUUGACGGUACCAGAGGAAUAAGCACCGGCUAACUCCGUGCCAGCAGCCGCGGUAAUACGGAGGGUGCGAGCGUUAUCCGGAUUUACUGGGUUUAAAGGGUGCGUAGGUGGGCUUAUAAGUCAGUGGUGAAAUCUCCGAGCUUAACUUGGAAACUGCCGUUGAUACUAUAGGUCUUGAAUUAUCUGGAGGUAAGCGGAAUAUGUCAUGUAGCGGUGAAAUGCUUAGAUAUAACAUAGAACACCAAUUGCGAAGGCAGCUUACUACAUAUAAAUUGACGCUGAGGCACGAAAGCGUGGGGAUCAAACA